rnacentral:tRNA from 1 species
CGGCGGAUGGCAGAGUGGUCGAUUGCGCCUGCCUGUAGAGCAGGACUGUAACAAGCACGUAGGUUCAAAUCCUACUCCGCCGA